AACAAUGAAGAAGAACAUUUCUUUUUAAAAUCGAUACACAAACAUUUUGAUUUCAAUAGCGUUAGAACAUCAAAAUAUCAAACAUCAAAAUAUCAAAAUAUCAAACGAAGAACAACUUAAGUUGAUAGAAACAAAAAGACUUAUUAAAUCAAACUACACAAUGGGGACCGUUCUACUAUCACUUGUUGUGUUCUCAUUGUCUUCAUUUUCACCGGACAUUUCCUCGAGCGACUUCCCUUUAGAUUCAGGCACCAAGAAAGUGAAGAGGAUGCCCAAGAAGUUAACAACACCUAACACGAGAAGCGAGUUUCUGACUCCAAUCCCUGGAGGAUAUCCUGCGUCUGUCUUGUUCUUGUCAGGGCUUUGAGCCAAGUACAAGAAUCCAAAGGCACCAAC
rnacentral:lncRNA from 1 species